GUGAGAUUUACCAGCUCCUGGAUGAAGUGCUUGGGAAGCCUUUAAAUGCCACAGGCAACCACCGUUUCAAAGGAGAGAAAACAGAUGGUUUUGGAAAGUUCAUGCUGUUCCUUCAUUGAAUUUUAGAAUGAUUGAAGAUAGUGGGAAAAGAGGAAAUACCAUGGCAGAAAGAAGACAGCUGUUUGCAGAGAUGAGGGCUCAAGAUCUGGAUCGUAUCCGACUCUCCACCUACAGAACAGCAUGCAAGCUUAGGUUUGUUCAGAAGAAAUGCAAUUGUAAGUAUACCAUUUGUCUGGACUAAUCACCUUCAUGAAUCCUAUA